UUAAAUUGAAGAGUUUGAUCAUGGCUCAGAUUGAACGCUGGCGGCAGGCCUAACACAUGCAAGUCGAACGGUAACAGGAAGCAGCUUGCUGCUUCGCUGACGAGUGGCGGACGGGUGAGUAAUGUCUGGGAAACUGCCUGAUGGAGGGGGAUAACUACUGGAAACGGUGGCUAAUACCGCAUAACGUCGCAAGACCAAAGAGGGGGACCUUCGGGCCUCUUGCCAUCAGAUGUGCCCAGAUGGGAUUAGCUUGUUGGUGAGGUAACGGCUCACCAAGGCGACGAUCCCUAGCUGGUCUGAGAGGAUGACCAGCCACACUGGAACUGAGACACGGUCCAGACU
rnacentral:rRNA from 1 species